AUAUUCACCUGGCAGAGGAAUACCAUGGUCAUGAAGGUGAUUUUUUCCCAAGGCAAGGCUUAUCCACUGCACUCCAGUAUGCUGACCCCUGUAACUUCCCCAAAUGUUGGAAACUUGACUGCAUAAUUUGUGGUUGUGGGGGACAGCAUUCAUGGUCUCCCCUG